CAGAUUGAACGCUGGCGGCAGGCCUAACACAUGCAAGUCGAACGGUAACAGGAAGCAGCUUGCUGCUUCGCUGACGAGUGGCGGACGGGUGAGUAAUGUCUGGGAAACUGCCUGAUGGAGGGGGAUAACUACUGGAAACGGUGGCUAAUACCGCAUAACGUCGCAAGACCAAAGAGGGGGACCUUCGGGCCUCUUGCCAUCAGAUGUGCCCAGAUGGGAUUAGCUAGUUGGUGAGGUAACGGCUCACCAAGGCGACGAUCCCUAGCUGGUCUGAGAGGAUGACCAGCCACACUGGAACUGAGACACGGUCCAGACUCCUACGGGAGGCAGCAGUGGGGAAUAUUGCACAAUGGGCGCAAGCCUGAUGCAGCCAUGCCGCGUGUAUGAAGAAGGCCUUCGGGUUGUAAAGUACUUUCAGCGGGGAGGAAGGUGUUGUGGUUAAUAACCGCAGCAAUUGACGUUACCCGCAGAAGAAGCACCGGCUAACUCCGUGCCAGCAGCCGCGGUAAUACGGAGGGUGCAAGCGUUAAUCGGAAUUACUGGGCGUAAAGCGCACGCAGGCGGUCUGUCAAGUCGGAUGUGAAAUCCCCGGGCUCAACCUGGGAACUGCAUUCGAAACUGGCAGGCUUGAGUCUUGUAGAGGGGGGUAGAAUUCCAGGUGUAGCGGUGAAAUGCGUAGAGAUCUGGAGGAAUACCGGUGGCGAAGGCGGCCCCCUGGACAAAGACUGACGCUCAGGUGCGAAAGCGUGGGGAGCAAACAGGAUUAGAUACCCUGGUAGUCCACGCCGUAAACGAUGUCUACUUGGAGGUUGUGCCCUUGAGGCGUGGCUUCCGGAGCUAACGCGUUAAGUAGACCGCCUGGGGAGUACGGCCGCAAGGUUAAAACUCAAAUGAAUUGACGGGGGCCCGCACAAGCGGUGGAGCAUGUGGUUUAAUUCGAUGCAACGCGAAGAACCUUACCUGGUCUUGACAUCCACAGAAGAAUCCAGAGAUGGAUUGGUGCCUUCGGGAACUGUGAGACAGGUGCUGCAUGGCUGUCGUCAGCUCGUGUUGUGAAAUGUUGGGUUAAGUCCCGCAACGAGCGCAACCCUUAUCCUUUGUUGCCAGCGAUUAGGUCGGGAACUCAAAGGAGACUGCCAGUGAUAAACUGGAGGAAGGUGGGGAUGACGUCAAGUCAUCAUGGCCCUUACGACCAGGGCUACACACGUGCUACAAUGGCGCAUACAAAGAGAAGCGACCUCGCGAGAGCAAGCGGACCUCAUAAAGUGCGUCGUAGUCCGGAUUGGAGUCUGCAACUCGACUCCAUGAAGUCGGAAUCGCUAGUAAUCGUGGAUCAGAAUGCCACGGUGAAUACGUUCCCGGGCCUUGUACACACCGCCCGUCACACCAUGGGAGUGGGUUGCAAAAGAAGUAGGUAGCUUAACCUUCGGGAGGGCGCUUACCACUUUGUGAUUCAUGACUGGGGUGAAGUCGUAACAAGGUAACCGUAGGGGAACCUGCGGUUGGAUCACCUCCUUACCUUAAAGAA
rnacentral:rRNA from 1 species